UUAAAUCUUAUACAUCCCAUUAUCAUCUUGAAAUGUGAAAAAACAGAAAUUUAAAAUAAACAUAGGAAUACAUUUAGGAAAUAAAAAGCAGAACAAAUUACAAAGCAAUGUGACAAAGAUAAAAUAACACAAACUUAGAACUCUUUAGGUGUGUGUGCAAUGAAACUAAUGCAUUGCACUUGGCGAACAUUGUCAAAUCCAAUGAUGCGGACAAAAGCAUUAGGGUAAGCCUUUACAACUUCCUGAAGUUCCUUCAACACUUGAACAGCCUCAGUGCAACCAAACAAUGGAAGCUUCCACAUUGUCCAGUACCUUCCAUCAUAGUAUCCUGGUGAGUUGUUGUGCUCACGGUACACAAAUCCUUUCUGCAAAUAAUUAUAAAUAAACAUAUUAACCAUCCGAACUUCGAAGAGUUUUAUGUAAAGAUCUUCGGAUGCAAUCUGAACAACGACAUAACAUUUUUUUAUGUUGUUGAAACUAUUAUGUAAUUACAAUUAUGACUACAUCAUCGUAUUUGGUUGUAAUUCUCUGUAGUAUCAAGAAUCACGACUGUGACUGCUAUUUAAAACCCUAACUCAAAACUACGUAUAUGUUAUUAAUUGAAUAAAAUAGAAAUUAAAGUAAGUAAAUAAAAUGAGAGUAGACCUCCAACUCAAAUUCCAAGCAAGGAACCCAUCCCUUCCUUAGAAGGUAUUCAACUUCCUUUAGCAAUUGCUCUUCAGUCAAUGGUGGAAGGUAUGAGAGAGUCUCAAACUUCUUCUUGCCAAUUGGUGGCCACACCUAUAUAGUAGUAAUAUCAAAAGAUUAAGUCAAAGGGGUUAGCAAAAAAUAUGAAUUAAUAAUGUUAUUUAAAUAAUUAAAUCACCUUAUGGAUAAAAAUAUCUAAUAAUUUCAAGUUUUGUUUAAUGAAUAUUAAUUAAUAAUGUACAAAAUAUAACACAACCGUUCAAUCAUAUUUAACAAAUUAUUGAACAUUGCAAUUUUAUAAAAUUAUAUUUAUUAAAUAUUUGUUCUAUAUUGUCAUAAAUAUAUAUUUGUGUAUAAUAAUUUGAAAUUGAUGCAUAUAAUAUUAAUUCAAAGUUAGAAUUAUAAAAUUGUAAUUAAAUAUCACAUUGAAAAAACAAAAAGACACUUAUUUUAGAAUAUUUUUAUUUGUUUAAACACAAUUAUUUUAGAUCAAGAGUAUAUUUAUUGAAAUAUUUUAAAAAGUGACGUGAUAAAGUGGUAUCAUAAUUAAUCAUUGUUCUCAAGUAGAUGAGCGAGUUUUGAUAAAUAUUUCAAAAACCAUUUAUAGAAAUUAAUAUACUAAACUAUAGAAUUAUUUGAAUUGAAAAAGUUUAAUAUAGUAAACUAUAGAAGUUAAUUAUGUAUUACUAACUUGCAUGCAGUGUACUCUUCCACCAUUGCUUGCAAUGGAAGUGAUGUCAUUGUUGACCUUUCUAACUGGGAAACCAGCCAUGGAUUUGAGACCAACAAAUGGAGCCACCGCGCCGGAUGGCACCGAAGAGGCGCGUUUAACGGUGGUCACCGCCGAAGAGGAAAUCAUAGAGGAAGCCAUUGUUGUGUUUUCACUUUCUUAUAUAUUUCUAUAAAUUGAGUUGAAAAGCUUCUAUUGAAACUUGCUAUAUAUAAUGUUUUGAAAUUUAGUGAUGGUUAUAUUAUACCAAUGGUUUGGAUUGUGAAAAUGAUAAACAUUGGAACCAUAUUAACCACACGAGAUUGGAAAGUUUGUGUUACUAGCCUUAUCAUUAUGCACCAAUAGGAUAUUGACACGUGGAUCAUGUCCUACUAAUCUUAUCUUCUCAUGAGAACAACAUAAAUGUGUGAUGGUGGUCAUGUAAGUCGUUUUUAUAUUUUAUUUUAUUUUAUAUGAAUUGAAAUAAUGUCGUUUUUAUGUAUGUUGGUCUCUUGGAAUUUUGUGACUAUUAAUUAAUUCCUCAUGGUACCUUUUUUCAGGCUUUGGCUUCUCAUAGAGGUAAAAAUAAUAAAGGUUUUCAUUCAUAUAAAAGUAAUUGACUUAUGUACAAACUUGGGUAAACCAUAUAAUCAAGACUUCACACAUAAAAAUGGCUUAUUGGUAAACUUGGGUGAAUCAUAUAAUCAAGACCAAAAAUAUAAACUCCACCAACUAGACUAAUCUUAAGCAUGUGAUAGAACUUACUCUAGGAGAUGAUUAGGAAGAACCAAUUGCAUGGUGUGAUUUGUUUGAGAGUUUUAAGUUGGAUGUGAUAUUAUUUUAAAAAUAUUGAUAAAUAAAAGGUAUAUUUCAUAUAUAUGUAGCACUGACUUAAUAUGUGUAACACCCCAAAAUUUUCAUAUAUAUUAUAUGUGUAUCUUUUUAGUAAUUGCUAUUAUUAAAUUAAUAAUUAUUAUAUGUGUAAAUAAAUUAAAUUAAAUUUUAUCACACUCUAUUCUACCUAAAUAAUUAUAAUAUUCAUUUUUAUUUAAUUGUUUUGACGUGACAAUUACAUGGGGACUAUUUAUGAUGUCAUUAUUUCAUAAAUGGACAUUUUUAUUUGAUUAGUUUCGAUAAUCAUGAAAUUGAUGUGUUAGAUAUGUUUGUUUUAUUUUGUUAUGUGUGAGUGGUAUUCUUGUCUUGCUUGAUUUUAUUUUAGUUAAUAAAAUAUUAGUUGAAUUAUUUAAUUAAAUUAGAAUUUAUAUAAGUUAUAUUGUUUGUUAGUUUUAUUUGCAACCAAAUAAGUAUUCAUUUUAGGAGAUAUUAUAGAGUUAGUGAAACAAACGUAUAAGUGUUUUGAAAAUAUUUUUGGUCCAUCUUAUAAAAACAAAAAUUAGUUACUUGACUCAUUCUUUUACUCUCAUUUAUGACAAGAUUUUAUGACAAUUGUUUUCUUGGCAUAAUGUGCAUUAAUUCAUUUUAAACACCUUUAAUUUAUUUUUAAAGGAAGAUUAUAAAUUUAAUUAUAAGUUUUUUGUGCAAUCAAGAGAGGACACAAAAAGACUAUUGUCCUUUUUGUAUCUCAUGCAUUCAUCUCUUAAACUAAAAUUAUAAUUUUAUUAUAAUUGUCUACAAAAAUAAUUUUAUGAAAUUUUUGGUUCGUAACUAUUAGAUAAAAAAAUUAAAAGGGUGAUGUGACGAUCUCUAAUUUAUUUAUUUAAUUAAAAUUAGUGUGUGACACCCUUCAAUAUAUGGUGAACUCUAUUAGUUAAUCCAAAUUAACUCAUACAUAUAAAUACACAUAAUUUCAAUUGGCAUUGUAACAACCUAAUAAAAUUAAAGAAAUAGUAAUUAUUGAUAGUGUAAUGUUGGAAUUAAGUGCACUUCAAUUUUAGACAAGAAAUCAAUGGUAAUAGUGCAACGUAAAUAGCUUAUAUGUUCAUACGUUUCCAUUAGGCAUCUUGUUGUCACACCUAUUUGUCAUUCGUACACUCUCAAAAUAAUUUUCUGAGUCGUAAAUUCCAAUAUCUAUCGGUGUUGAAUUCAUUACUGCCUCGUGAGCUAUUUCUCGUGCAAAUUUAGAGGUGUUAAGAAAGAAAGCGCCUAAGGUAAGGGCUUUUCCCCAUGCAAUGUUAGGCUAGAUAUUAAAUUAAUAGUUUGUAAGAUAUUGAUAUAAAACUUGUUGUCUUAAAAGAGAAAUAUUGAUUUUUAAUUACCUUAAAAUAUUUAACUAUAAUAUUUUAUUUUUAUGAGUAAUAUGUUUGCUUUGAUAAACUUAAUUAUAAAUUUCGAUUUUUAUUAUUAUAACAUGACUAAUAUGUUUGAUGUCAUAUAUUUGAUGUAAAGUUAUUGUUUGUGUGUUGUUUAUGUGUACUUAAUUAUAAAACUAUGAUUUUUAUUAUGAUCUCAUGAAUAAUAUUUUUUUAGGAUGUCUUUAAUUUAAAGUUUCGAUUUUUGUGCUAUUUCAUUUCAAAGUUUUGAUUUUUAAGAAAUCUAUAUGAGUCUUGGGGGAAUUGGUGUAAAGUUUUAAUUUUAAUUAUGAUAACAUGAUUAAGUUGAUUUUUGUGAUGUGUUUAGCGGCAAACCUUGAUUUGUGUUUUAAUAAUAUUAUUUUUGUGGUUGCCUAAGUGGCUUGUGAUUUGUGUUUUGAAUAUUUUAUCUAUGUGGUUGUCUAAGUGGUUUGGUUGGUAGUUUGUAUUUUAAAUAUUUUUAUCUUUGUGGUUGCCAAAUUGGUUGGUGAUUUGCAUUUUAAAUAUUGUUAUCUUUGUGGUUGCCUAAGUGGCUAGUGAUUUGUGUUCUAAAUAUUAUCUUUGUGGUUGCCUAAGUGGCUGGUGAUUUGUGUUUUAAAUAUUGUUAUCUUUGUGGUUGCCUAAGUGGCUGGUGAAUUGGAUUUUAAAUAUUGUUAUCUUUGUGGUUGCAAGUGGCUGGUAAUAUUUAUGUGAUUAUCUAAUUGGGUGGUGAUAUGUAUCUUUGAGCAUCAUUAUCAUUUCAUGACAUAUCAUAUGCAUCUUUGUGGACGCCUGUGUGGCUGGUUUAAUUUUCCCCAUUGGUAUGGGUGACUUCUGUGUGGACGCCUGUGUGGCUGGUUAUAUCCGGAUCAUAUAUAUUUAGGAGCAUGCAUAACUUGCAUAUAUUCUAUUGUUAUUUUUAUUUUGAUCUAAUUAUUUGAUAUACNNNNNNNNNNNNNNNNNNNNNNNNNNNNNNNNNNNNNNNNNNNNNNNNNNNNNNNNNNNNNNNNNNNNNNNNNNNNNNNNNNNNNNNNNNNNNNNNNNNNNNNNNNNNNNNNNNNNNNNNNNNNNNNNNNNNNNNNNNNNNNNNNNNNNNNNNNNNNNNNNNNNNNNNNNNNNNNNNNNNNNNNNNNNNNNNNNNNNNNNNNNNNNNNNNNUUAAUUUUUCCCAUUGGUAUGGGUGACUUCUGUGUGGACGCCUGUGUGGCUGGUUAUAUCCGGAUCAUAUAUGUUUAGGAGCAUGCAUGACUUGCAUACAUUUUUAUGUUAUUUUAUUUUGAUCUAAUUAUUUGCUAUACGAUUGCUACUUGAUUUAUUUAGAUACAUUCUAUAACUUUUGAUACAUCUUUAAGAACUAUUAAAGAAUAAAUUUUUUUAAAAUCUUUUAUUACGAAAAGAUUUUAUAUUCAUAUUUUAUGGUUGUUAAUUUAUUAUUUGGUUUAGUUUUGUUGUGGGAUGAACUGACCCCUUACACCAACAUUUAGGUACGAAUGAUUUCAAAGAGUUGCAUGAAUGACGUUUGAUUGGUGCACACACAUGGGAAAAUUAUAUUUUACUUAAAAAUAAUAUUUUGUAUUACUAAAGUUUUGCGGCACAUUGUAAAGUUAUUUACUCUUCAUCAUUAACUUUUAAUAGAAAUGCAGUGAUAUUUCAUUAGCUAGAAAAAAAUUGAAUGUCAUUAAUUUCAGUCAACAUUGUUUCUUUUGAAUUUCACUUAAAGAGAAUUUAUUUUAUUUUGGACCAUAAAUGAAUAUUGAUCUAAUAAUUGGAAUAUUAAUUUUGCAAAUGAAUAAAUAAAUAAUAUUUUAGUAAAUUACAUUACGUUCUUUUAAUGAGAAAAAAAAAUUAAUUAGUUGUUUCUAAAAGAAAAUAAAUACUUUUCAGUAAUAUUCGUAUCAAAAAUUUGGGGCGUUACAUGUGGUAUCAGAGCACUAAUUCUCGGACCUUGUGGGGUGGAUGUGUUGUGUGUUGCAUGUAUUCCGAUGUUACUUGCGUUAUUUGUUCGAUUUUCUAUUUAUUGAAUUUUAUUAAUUACUUAAAUUUUAAUUAUAUGUUAUUAAUUUGGUGGCCACUUUGAAUUUGAAUUUUACUAAUGACUUAAAUUUCUAUUAUGAGUCAUUAAUUGUGUAACCUUCAAUUUGAAUUUUUAAGAAUUACUUAAAUUCUUAUUAUGUGUCAUUAAUUAUGUUAAUUGUUUGGUUCUCUAAUUAUUGAAUUUUACUUAAAUUUUUUUGUGUGAUUGUGUAACCUCCAUGAAUUUAUGUCAUUAAAAAUAUGACUUAAAUAUUUGGUUUAAUUGUGUUAUUUUAUUAUUUAUUUAGUUGUUUUCAUAUAUGAAAUCUCUAUGUCUAGUUGUAUGUUUCUUUAGCUUUGUCUUUUUAUAUUAUUUAGAAAUCUUCUAUUUAAUUUUGAUAGAUUUUACUAUCUUUUUAUGAGUUUUUUUCUUGUUUAUUAUGACUAUUUUGUUUUAAUAAUCUUAGACUCUCUACUUCUUGUUUAUGUUAAAUAUUUUGUGGUCUAGUUAUUACUUGACUUAAUUAGUUUUGUUAAUAAUAAUCAUUAAUAUUACAAAAUAAUUUAAUCUUCUACUUCAUACAAAUGAGUAUUAUUAUGUUAUAAAAUAUAAUACUAUAUAUAUUAUUGUUGUUAUCAUUGUCUCUUUUAUAUUAUUUUUAUGAAACUACAAAUUUUAGUUCACUUGAAUUGCAAAUAUUUUAAAAAGAAUAUCAUUUAAUUCGAUAUUAUUAUUAGUGUUAGUAAUAAAUUUUCCUUUUAACUUGCUUAGUUAAGAUAUUUUUAAUAUUGCAAAGGUAUUUAAUAAACAAAAUUAAUUUUGGUUUUAUUUCUUAAAUUAGAUUUUUUAAGACAAAUUUAAUGUAGUUACGUUUUUUUUUUGAAUUUAUAUACAUAUACAAUAUUUUUCUUUAUUUUAUGAAUGUUGUUUACACACUUUAAGAUGAAGAGUUAAGAUAGUAUAUUAUUGUAAUUAUUUUACCAUUAAUAUCAUUAUUAUUAUUUCUAUUAUUGUUAUUAUUUGUUAACAUUUAGAUUUUAACAAAUAAUACUCUUCAUUUAUUAAUUUCCUUUGUUUUACUGCUCAAGUUAUGUUGAGGUAUAAAUGUGAAAAGUGAGAAAGAACUUGAUGAAUCAUAGCUUGGGCGUCCCUAAGAUUUUGGUCCCUACUCCCUAUGCAAACCAAGGAAAUGUUGCCUUAAUAAAUCUAAAAAUUGCAUUUAUAGAUCUAAAUAUUGGAAUGGAGAAAUUCAGAUAAGAUUUCAUCUUCUUUCUUAAGAUUACAAUAUUACAUUCCUACCAUUAAGCUAACAUUCUAUGAUCAUUUUUUUUUUUUAAUUCUCCGAUGUCGUAGGAAUAAAACUUUAAUAAUUUAGGAUUUAGUUGAGACGUAAGUAAAAUUUAAUUAAAAAUUGUUUUAUUUAUAAUCCAAUUUUAGUUAUUUCAAAAGAUUUAUUUUUAACUGAAGUUCAUUGUUUGAUCUCAAACACUUGGUUUUUGUCUUUAUUGAUGCACACCUAUUAAUAAUAUGUUUAGAAUUCGUUUGAUGGACAAGAUAUAAAUAAGUUAUCAUAUUAUAUUUGAAUUGAGUGUUUGAUGAACCAACAUGAUAUGAUAUGAUAAGUCAACCCAUAACUCUAUCUUAUCAUGUAUCUUUAAUUGAAAUUUAUAUCAUAAAUAUGAGCUGAGUUAUAAACUAUCAGAAAAUGAUAAGAACAAUAAUUUACUUAAUUAUUCUUAUAAAAUAUAAAAUAUAAAAAUAAUUUAUAAAAUAUUUUAGAUAUGUAAAUCUAAUCAAAUAUAAAUAAAUAAAAAUACUUAAUAGAAUUUGAUCUUAAACUUAAAAAUGAAAUAUUAAUAAUUAAUUUAAAAAAUAUUUAUGAUUUUAUCACAAUGAUAACUUUGUCUUUUUAUAUAAUUUAAAUUAGCAUUCAAAAUUAUACAAAUACGAAGAUUAAUUAAAAUAUUAAAAUAAAAAUAAUUUUUUUACAAGGAUAUUUCUGCCAUUUACAUAUAAUAUAUAUCAUAUCUUUAUUUAUAUUAUAACAAAUAAAUAAAAUUAUUUAGUUACUCAUUAUUUAAAAAAAAAAUAUUCAAUUGUUUAUACAGUAGUGUUAGUGGAUUGUUUUAGAUAUAAUAUUAUUUCAUUACUUAUUUAAUUUGUUAUUAUUUUUUCGUUAAGUUAAUUUUUAACAAAACUAAUAUGUAAUUAUUCACAAUGAUAAUUUUGUUAUUUAAAUAUAAUAUAUACUAUAUUGAUGUGAUGUGUAUCAAAUACAUGAGAAAAUAAAACGUUAUCUUAUUAAUUAUUAUGUGUGUAUUAAACACUAGAUAUAAUAAUGUUUAUUCUGUCACACCUUAUUUUUCAUUUUUUGUACCCCUAAUCUUUACCAUAAAAUCUUUAUCUUAGGAUUAAAAAAUGGUAAGAAAAAAAAAAUAGUACCCCUUAAAAGUAGAUCAUGUCUGAUUGAACCACCUACACAUGUUCAAGACCACCAUUGGUAGGAAGUUAUUGAUCUUUACAGUUGUGUUGAUUAGGUGUGUUAAUUGAUUUGUGAUAUGUUUCUUUUCAACAUUAUUAAGAAUCUUGAAGAAUCAAUAGUGUCAUUCUCUACUUUUCUAGGAUUCAAAAAUUAAAUCUUGGACUUCAAUUGUUGCAAGAAUCAGGGAAUAUGCUGAUGCUGGUCAAAGCACACUUCAAUUGUUUGUUGCUCUUAGUGUAACAUCUCUUGAUUAGAAUCAUUUUCUUUUACUCUUUAAAAUAUUUCCACUUUAUUCAUGAAUAAAAUCAUCAAUUCAGAGUGCCUUACAUUGUUUAAGUCAAAAUUUUAUGCCUAAGAUUGUUAUCAGAUGGGAAGAAAUUAAAAUAUUAUUCAUGAUAAAAAAAAAAUGUAAAUAAAAAAACUUGGAAACUUUUUUCCUAUUAAUAUGUCAGUCAAUUUCGAUGUAUUUUGUUCGUUUAUAAAAAGUGAAAUUGAUGUGUUUUGGUGAUAUGAAUGUUCAAUUGAUGUUAGUUUAUGUCAAGUAGCUAAACCAAACAUAUUAUACUAAUCUUCGCAAGAGAUCAUUUAUUCUCAUAUUAAUUGUAUACACUCAAAUAUUUUUAUAUUUUCAAAAUAUGCUCAAAAAAAUUUCUUGUAAAGAUGAAAAAUAGUUAUGUGGAAGUAAGAUUUCUCUUUCCAUAAACGUUGCUAUCAAAAAGAGUCAAGUAUUUCCACAAGAUAAGAUGUCAUCUAUCAUAAAUUUUAUUAACUCAACCACUAAAUGAUCAACCAAAUAAGUAAUCCAUGUGCAUGACUACAAUUUUCAGCCAAUGAACAGAAUUUGACAAGCACUCUUGUAGUUCAAGAUAAAUUGUUUUAUUUUUGUGGUAAGAGAGAUUCAUCUACUCGAUUUUGUGUCAAAUUUCGAUUUGUUUUCCCUUUCAAAACUACAAAUGAUUUGAAAAUUAUAAAGGAAAGUUAAUAAAUGACUAAAACAAAAGGGCUAUGUUGGACUUUAAAGUUUGUUAAGUUAUAUAUACGAAUGUUUAGGUCGACAAUUGAAAAAUACACAUCCAAAAAGAAAACAAAGACAAUUUUUAUGUCCUUCCAAUGUGUAUUUUUAGACAAAAAAAAAAACAAUAUUUUUCCUCAUCUAGAUCUAGAUGUAUAUUUUCAAAAUCCUAUCCUUCUUUUUAGAAAUGUGUGGUAGAAAAAGUUGCUCUUAUAUAAAAAUAUUUGUUGCCAAGGAUAAAGAUAUGUCAAUUAGGUAAAGCUCAAUAGCUUCAUGGAAUAAGACUAUGAGGUUAGCAUGAAGAAUAAACACCUCAAAGAUUAAUUUGAAAACAUAGUUACUUGGUCAUAUAGUCUCAUCCUUGACUUCACAUUUAAGAAACAAACCUUAAUAUCAUAGUGUUGGUUCCUUUAUUAGUUAAAAUAUCAAGUUCAACAUAAUAACAAGGUAAACAACAGAAAAUUAUAGUACUUUGAGAAUGAAUAAAAGGACCAUUUCAUUUAUUAACUCUUAUCCAUCCAUUUGCAUUUGAAGUCCGAAAGUAAAAACCGAAAAAACAAAGGAAGACAUUCCUUUGAAGAAGAAAAGGAAAUUACAAGCAUAACAAAUGGGAGAAAAUAAAUGAUUCUUCCAAGAGAGUUAAUACUCAAACUUAGAACUCUUUAGGUGUGUGUGCAAUGAAACUGAUGCACUGCACUUGGCGAACGUUGUCGAAUCCGAUGAUGCGGACGAAAGCAUUAGGGUAAGCCUUGACAACUUCCUGAAGUUCCUUCAACACUUGAACAGCCUCAGUGCAACCAAACAAUGGAAGCUUCCACAUUGUCCAGUACCUUCCAUCAUAGUAUCCUGGUGAGUUGUUGUGCUCACGGUACACAAAUCCUUUCUGCAAAUAAGUACAAAUAAACAUAUUAACCAUCCUAACUUCGAAGAGUUUUAAGUAAAGAUCUUCAGAUGCAAUCUGAACAACGACAUAACAGUUUUUUAUGUUGUUGAAACUAUUAUGUAAUUACAAUUAUGACUACAUCAUCGUAUUUGGUUGUGAUUCUCUGUAGUAGUAUCAAGAAUCACUAUUGUGACUGUGACUGCUAUUUAAAACUCUGACUCAAAAUUACGUAUAUGUUAAUUGAAUAAAAUAGAAAUUAAAGUAAGUAAAUAAAAUGAGAGUAGACCUCCAACUCAAAUUCCAAGCAAGGAACCCAUCCCUUCCUUAGAAGGUAUUCAACUUCCUUUAGCAAUUGCUCUUCAGUCAAUGGUGGAAGGUAUGAGAGAGUCUCAAACUUCUUCUUGCCAAUUGGUGGCCACACCUAUAUAGUAGUAAUAUCAAAAGAUUAAGUCAAAGGGGUUAACAAAAUUAGUACAUAUUUAUAAUUGAACAAAAGGGUUAACAAAUUUGUACACAUUUUUGCCAAUGAAUCCCUUAGUAUAUUUGAGUUAUAUAUCUUCUAUUACAAAAAUAUGUAACAUAUCCUUAACCAAUGAAUCCAUCAAUUUUUGCUACUCAAUUUGUUUUCUUCAAAAUCUCUCUUAUUAUGUAUUGAAAACCAAACCAAAUUUGUCUAAAGAAUCUAUGUUAAUUAAGAUUUACAAUUUGUUAUGUUCAAUUAUUGAACAGCAACAACGUUUAGUAGUAAAUCAAUAUUGUAUAUCAAUUGUUAAAUAUGAUAAUAUUUUAAAAGGCAAAUAUAAAUCUAUAAUAUGAUAUAUCAAAAAAAUAGUUGUAGAUUAUUAAGAAAAAAAUCACUAACUUGCAUGCAGUGUACUCUUCCACCAUUGCUUGCAAUGGAGGUAAUGUCAUUGUUGACCUUUCUAACUGGGAAACCAGCCAUGGAUUUGAGACCAACAAAUGGAGCAACCGCGCCGGAUUGCACCGAAGAGGCGCGGUUGACUGUAGUCACAGCUGCAGAAGAAAUCAUAGAGGAAGCCAUUGUUUUUCUCCCUUACUUAACUCUUUAAUCAGAAACACUUGUACUGAAUUUGCAAAGCUUCUACUAUACCUUGCUAUAUAUAAUGUUUUAUUUUUGCUAUUUUCAAUAUUUCCAAUAUGAUCUUAAAAUAUGUGGUAAUUAGCUACUGUCUAAUACCAAUUUGUUGGAUUGUGAAAAUGAUAAACAUUGCAGCCAUAUUAACCACACAAGUUUGAAACUUUUUGUAUCUUAGCCUUAUCAUUAGGCACCACUAUGAUAGUGCCACGUGGAUUAUGGCCCCACUAAUCUUAUCUCCUCAUGAGUAGAGUGUAAAUAUGUGAUGGUGGUUAUGUUGAUAUUUUUUUUAAUAAUUUAAUUGUAUCCUUGUAAAUUCUACUCUAGUGUAUUGGCCUCAUAAUGGAAUUAUGUGACUGUUACUUCACAAAAAUUUAUCAUGAAUGGAUUGGAAUGGGUAACAUUUGUUCCUGUCCAAGCUUUUUGGCUCCUUAGGGAGGAAAAUAAAAAUUAGAAUAAGAAGAAAAAAAAUUAAUGGAAUGAAACUUCUCAGCUGACACUCUCUUAUCCGUUUUGUUGGUUAGUUGAGAAUGUACAUCUGUCUUCAUAGUUACAUGAGAAAUUUAUUUCUACAUUUUCCUCUCAGCCAAGUAAAAUUGCAUAAAAUCAAUCUAUUUUUAAGAUACAUAUUUAAAAACUUUAUAAUGUGUUCUCUAAUAUUUAAUUUAGAUUUAAAUAUGAUUUAAGUAUCUGUGAUUAUAACAUUUUUUGAUUUUAAUCAUGUAAUUUAGGUUUUAAACAAUGUUGUUUUUAGUCUAUGAUACGUCAUGCGUGACUAAAUAAAAUCACGCCACGAGUUAAGAGUUUAGUCUUGUAACCUCAUGGUACAAAAUUCAAAAUCCCCUCGAAGACGGUCGCAAAGUAGACAUUUAUGUUACAUUGAUUAACAAAAAAAGACACACAAGUACUAAACAUACCCUUAUAAUAUGUUGAAAAUGUCAAGACAAAAAUUAAAGUUAGAGACAGCUGAUUCUUAAAGAGCAUAUUACAUGGAUAACUAUGUAAACAAUAGGAUCUAUAACUAAAAUAUUGAAUAGUUGAGAUUAUGAAAGGAUAACUGGCCUGUAAAAAACUGAAAGAUGUUUGAAACUUCAUCUUUAGCUUGUAUUACUCAAUGAUGAUGUUGAUGUUGAUGACAUGUUUGAAAUUUUGUUGUAUUACUGAUGAGGUUCUGACUUAUUUUUUUCUGUUUAUCUUCGGCAUUAUUUUGCAACUUUGAUGCAGUAAUGUUGUUCUCAGUUUUUCUAGCAGUGUAACUUUAAGGCCUGUGAUUCAUGAUGUAAGAAUUAGGGCAUUUGCUGAUACAAAAUAUAAAUGUAGUUAGUUGCCUUUUGUCAUCUUCAAGUAGUUAGUUUUUCAUUGUGAUCUGAAUUCAAAGAUAUGGUAUUAUGAAGUUUGUACAAUUUGUUCACAUAUUGGCAAAAUUUUCUUUGGAUAAACCUUAAUUUUAAUCCUUGAAAGUAUAGAAUGUCAACACUUUAAUAUCAGACUUAAUCAAGCACCUAAAUUAUUUAUCGGAUUAUCAAAACAUCAAUCAUUUUAGUCAUUAACAUUAUAAUAGUCAUAGACUAAUUUUGACAGUAAAUUGUACUUUUUGGGACUUUAAUAAUAGUAAUUAUAUCUUUCAAGGGCUAUUUUAAUGAUUCAAAACUAUUUUGAAUUUUUGGCUAAGUUAGAGACCAAAGUGACAAUGUUUUACACUUUCAAAGACUAAAAUGGUGGUUUACCCCAUUUUCUAUGUCUCAAAAAAGGUGAAUAUUCUCUGAUGUAGUAAUUUACUGAUUUUGGUCUGUCUUAUUUGUUUUUACCAGGUAUUCUGGGAACAUGAUUGAAUCGACCUAUUAUAAUCAGUGUCAAAUGAUAAAAUAAAGCAUCUACAAGAUACUUUGUUGUAUUUUAAAAUUUUCAUGGUUGAAGUUUAGUGUAUACUGCACUGGCUAUAUAUUCAAAUAAAG
rnacentral:lncRNA from 1 species